UUCUAACCGUAAACGAUGACAACCAGCGAUUAGUCGGUGUUAAUAUACGACCCGACUAGCAGCUUCCGGGAAACCAAAGUUUUUCGUUUCCGGGGGAAGUAUGGUUGCAAAGCUGAAACUUAAAGGAAUUGACGGAAGGGCACCACCAGGAGUGGAGCCUGCGGCUUAAUUUGACUCAACACGGGAAAACUCACCCGGCCCGGACACCGUAAGGAUUGACAGACUGAGAGCUCUUUCUUAAUUCGGUGGGUGGUGGUGCAUGGCCGUUCUUAGUUGGUGGAGCGAUUUGUCUGGUUAAUUCCGAUAACGAACGAGACUCUGGCCUAUUAAAUAGUCGGUAUAUUCAGAAAAGUUUACCGUACUUCUUAGAGGGACAAACGGCGUCUAGCCGCGUGAAAUAGAGCAAUAACAGGUCUGUGAUGCCCUUAGAUGUCCGGGGCUGCACGCGCGCUACACUGAAAGAAUCAGUAUGCGCUUUAACCUAGUCCGGAAGGAUUGGGUAACCCGAGCAAAUUCUUUCGUGCUUGGGAUAGGGAAUUGCAAUUAUUUCCCUUAAACGAGGAAUUCCCAGUAAAUGCGGGUCAUAAGCUCGCGUUG
rnacentral:rRNA from 1 species